GGCUGUAGCUCAGUGGUAAAGUGCUUGCCUCGAAUGUGUGAGGCACUGGGUUCCAUCCUCAGCACCA
rnacentral:tRNA from 1 species